CCUACGGGAGGCAGCAGUGGGGAAUAUUGGACAAUGGGCGAAAGCCUGAUCCAGCCAUGCCGCGUGUGUUAAGAAGGCCUUUUGGUUGUAAAGCACUUUAAGCGGGGAGGAGGGCUCUGUGGUUAAUACCCAUAGAAGUCGGACGUUACCCGCAGAAUAAGCACCGGCUAACUCUGUGCCAGCAGCCGCGGUAAUACAGAGGGUGCGAGCGUUAAUCGGGAUUACUGGGCGUAAAGCGCGCGUAGGCGGCUUGUUAAGUCGGAUGUGAAAUCCCUGGGCUCAACCUAGGCAUUGCAUUCGAUACUGGCAAGCUAGAGUAUGGGAGAGGAAGGUAGAAUUCCAGGUGUAGCGGUGAAAUGCGUAGAGAUCUGGAGGAAUACCGAUGGCGAAGGCAGCCUUCUGGCCUAAUACUGACGCUGAGGUGCGAAAGCAUGGGGAGCAAACAGGAUUAGAUACCCUGGUAGUCCAUGCCGUAAACGAUGUCAACUAGCCGUUGGGCCCCUUGAGGGCUUAGUGGCGCAGCUAACGCGAUAAGUUGACCGCCUGGGGAGUACGGUCGCAAGACUAAAACUCAAAGGAAUUGACGG
rnacentral:rRNA from 1 species